AAUUGGGUGCAAACAAAUUACUCUCUAAUUCUAAAGAAAUUAAUGAAUGGUUGUUUGGGUCAGAGUUAGGAUAACAAUCCAAAGUCAAGACAAAACCCCAAAUCAAAUAAUUAAGCACGAGAUGCACACCAAACAGGAACUCCUGUUACUACUCCUCCAGGAUAAUUCUGCUCCACCGCAGGCAAUCCCCAGGUUGGCCGUGACGACGAUGACGAGG
rnacentral:misc_RNA from 1 species